rnacentral:lncRNA from 1 species
UUUUAUUUUAUUAUUUUAUUUUAUUUAUUUUAUUUAUUUUUUUAUUUUCCCAAGAGAUUUUAAUGUUAUUUUACAAGCAGACCCAGAACUCAAUCAAGGAUGUUUAAAAUUAAGUGUCGUUAUUAAUCACAAUGCAAUUCAUAUUGGAAAAAUUAUUCUACUGAUAACGGUUUAAGGAGAUAUGGGGGGGAUCCCUGGGUGGCUCAGCAGUUAAGCUAUUUCUAUCAUAUGGCAAAAAUAGGGAAAUGUUUUAUUGAAGUUAUUCUAAGAAAACUUACAACAGGACCAGAAACAAAACCAGCUAUAACUCAGUAAUAAUUGCCAGUUGCUGCAAAUUAUCUGUGUGAACAAAAGUCCUACAGAUGCUUUUCAGUUUGACCAGGGGUGAAGAUCGUAUAGCUAACAGCUCUAGCUGAAGUCACUUCAUGUCCUCUCCUUAGUACACGGGCUCUCCCAACCCACAGUAGAGCCUGGAAGAGACUGAGCAAUCAUUUCCCAUCCAGUAUACCAUAAUUCUGAGGAGGAUGGUGUGGUCAAAGGUGUCCAGUCUUCUUUGGAACAUCUGUGCUCCAAGGGUAAGGGAAGGGGUAUUAUGCUUAGUGUAAGCAAUAAUGCUUCCACUUAGAAGGCAAGUCUUGUUUAUGAGUGCUGACCCUUUCCACCUCAGAUGUUUUAGCCAACUAGUCUAGAAAUACUUCCUGUUUGCCUUACCUCUUCCUGAAGGAAAGACUUCCUUUAUUUAAGUAUAGAUGGAUCUUUUUUUUCUCACCUUGGCAAUAACCAUAUUUUUCAUGCCUUGUCAGAUGAAGAAUACUGGAAACGUAAUGGGCAGUGAUAAUUAAUAUUGUUACAUUAUAGUUAAGGAGUUUUCUUUUGCUUUGGAAGCACAUUUACUGUUGAGUGUCCCGUCUCCAUCCAUCUAUUUUGGGGAUAAGUGACUGUAACUCUCUAAUGUGGUCAUUCUCCAACAUUCAUGGUCACAGGGAGAAUCCACAUCUUCAUAAUACUGAAUUCCUCUAUCCUUUCCAUCUUUCAAGCCUUUUUGGUCUCCAUUUUUCUGGAAGCAAAUUUAUCUUAAUAAAACACUUGAUUUUCAAUAGGAGUUGUGCUCCUUUUCAAAUUAGCCCUUCUUUUAAAAACUUUGUUUUUUUUUUUUUUUUACUUAAUUAAGUUUUAAAUUUUAUUUUUUGAGAGAGAGAGAGAGAGAGAGCAAUAAGGAAGGGGCAGAGGGAAAAAGAGAAUUCGAAGCAGGCUCCACACGCAGUGCGUAGCCUGAGGCAGCCUAGUCUCAGGACCCUGGGAUCCCGACCUGAAGCCAAGAGUCAGAUGCUUAACUGACCGAGCCACCUAGGAAUCCCUUUGUUUAUUUAUUUACUUAAUUGUUUAGAAGAGGUUCACAGAAAAGUUGGAGGGAAGGUACAGAGAUUUCCCCAUAUACCUCUGUCCCAACCUGCAGAGCCUCUUCCAUCCCAGUGGUACAUUUGUUACUCCCAUCCCAGUGGUACAUUUGUUACAUUGAUACACCUACAAUUGAGACAUCAUUAUUACCCAAAGUCCAUAGUUUUUACGUUAAAGUUUGCUCUUGGUGUUGCAUAUUCUAUGAGUUUGGACAAAUAUAUAAUGACAUGUAUGUAUCACUAUAGCAUCAUAUUGAGUAUUUUCACUGCCCUAAAAAUCCUCUGUGCUCUGCGUAUUCAUCCCCUCCCCCCUCCGAAUCCCUAGCAACUGGUCUUUUUACUGUCUUCAUAGUUGGCCUUUUCCAGAAUGCAAUAUAAUUGGAAUCAUACAGUCUGUAGCAUUUUUCUGUGUGCUCUG